UACGAAGGUGGCAAGCGUUGUUCGGAUUUACUGGGCGUAAAGGGCGCGUAGGCGGCCUGCUAAGUCACACGUGAAAUCCCUCGGCUCAACCGGGGAACUGCGUGUGAUACUGGCGGGCUUGAAUUCGGGAGAGGGAUGUGGAAUUCCAGGUGUAGCGGUGAAAUGCGUAGAUAUCGGGAGGAACACCAGUGGCGAAGGCGACUUCCUGGCCUGUUCUUGACGCUGAGGCGCGAAAGCUAGGGGAGCAAACGGG
rnacentral:rRNA from 1 species